rnacentral:sRNA from 1 species
GAGCAGAUGGGAGGUGCGGCGACAGUGUUUGACGAGAGCCGAAGGAGGCAGUGGGAGGUGUUGGCGGCGGCGGCGCGGGCGCCUGAGGAGGAGGAGGAGGAGAAGCGGAUGAGAUUUUGGGGCUCACCAGCGUCCCCCAUGGCUUCUGAGUAGCGCGGGAGUGGAGUCAGCACCAAGCCAGGCUCCCCGCGCCUGCCUUGCCUUCACCUGCUCCUGCUCUCUGCCAGAGGCAGCAUGGUCCGCAGGGCACCAUGGGGCCCGACAGAGUGACAGCACGAGAACUGUGCGAGAACGACGACCUGGCCACCAGCCUCGUCCUGGACCCCUACCUCGGUUUCCGCACCCAUAAGAUGAACGUCAGCCCUGUGCCCCCCCUGCGGCGACAGCAGCACCUGCGCUCAGCGCUGGAAACUUUCCUGAGGCAGCGGGACCUGGAGGCUGCGUACCGGGCCCUGACGCUGGGAGGCUGGACGGCCCGCUACUUCCAGAGCCGGGGCCCGCGGCAGGAGGCUGCCCUCAAGACCCACGUCUAUCGCUACCUCCGUGCCUUCCUGCCGGAAAGUGGCUUUACCAUCCUGCCCUGCACACGCUACUCCAUGGAGACCAACGGGGCCAAGAUCGUGUCCACUCGCGCUUGGUAAGAGGGCAGGACUCCCUCCGGGUAUCCUUGGAGGAGACAGAGCUCAGAGGGUACAAGAGAGACCCUCUGUUCAUGGACUGGCCAACCGGGGAAAAGAGAGGUGCCUGGUCCUCUGGGCAUCCUAGGAAGGUGGUGGGGCUAAUCCCGGAAGACCUUUGUGGCUACUGUGGUGCUACUGGAGCAGGAGACACCAGAUGUGACCCCAGGGUUCCUGGGGCUUCGAGGAAAGAACUAGGCUUCUGCUCAGGGCUGCACUGUCCUUACCUCCUCGUGACCUGAGCCCCCACCACGUGUUAAACACCCCUGAGUGCAGUGAGGAGCCCCUGCCCCUGCCCCUGCAGGGUUCACAGUCUGGUGGGGAGGCGGGUGGCAGACAAGUCAACAUACAGUCAUUGGUCCCAGCUGGUACACGCUGCAGGGGAGCUGUGAGGAAUGAGCAAGUGCUCCCAGGGCGAGGCUCACACUGAGAGGGGAAGCACCAGCCUGAGGGUCUGGUGGGGCGAGUAGGGGGUAGUCCAGGCAGGAGGGAAUUGGGGGCAGGAGGUGCUAUGAGAGCGAGGGGAGAGAAGGGGGGCUAUAUCUGCUGUGUGCGUGCUGUCCUGAAGGCUUUCAGCAGAAGGGUCCUGUGAGGCUGUGGGCUGGAGCAGGGAAGCCCACCCAGGCGGGAGGGGAAGAGGGAGAUCUGGAAGACUGGAUCGCCAGUAGCCAGCACCAGCGCACAGGAGUCCCUGCUUCCUGGGUGCCUCUGUGCCGGAGGCCCGAGUACCCCGAGCACCUGCAGGAGGCCAGGCAUCGCCCACAGCCCCGCCCCCUGGCCUCUUGGCAGGAAAAAGAAUGAGAAGCUGGAGCUGCUGGUGGGCUGCAUUGCAGAGCUGCGGGAGGCGGAUGAGGGGCUGCUGAGGGCCGGUGAGAACGACUUCAGCAUCAUGUACUCAACACGCAAGCGGAGUGCUCAGCUGUGGCUG